rnacentral:rRNA from 1 species
CCUACGGGAGGCUGCAGUGAGGAAUAUUGGUCAAUGGACGAGAGUCUGAACCAGCCAAGUAGCGUGAAGGAUGACUGCCCUAUGGGUUGUAAACUUCUUUUAUAUGGGAAUAAAACGUUCCACGUGUGGGAUUUUGUAUGUACCAUAUGAAUAAGGAUCGGCUAACUCCGUGCCAGCAGCCGCGGUAAUACGGAGGAUCCGAGCGUUAUCCGGAUUUAUUGGGUUUAAAGGGAGCGUAGGUGGAUUGUUAAGUCAGUUGUGAAAGUUUGCGGCUCAACCGUAAAAUUGCAGUCGAAACUGGCAGUCUUGAGUACAGUAGAGGUGGGCGGAAUUCGUGGUGUAGCGGUGAAAUGCUUAGAUAUCACGAAGAACUCCGAUUGCGAAGGCAGUUCACUGGACUGCAACUGACACUGAGGCUCGAAAGUGUGGGUAUCAAACAGGAUUAGAUACCCGUGUAGUC